rnacentral:rRNA from 1 species
GCGCAGCAGUCGCGAAACCUCCGCAAUGCGGGAAACCGCGACGGGGGACCCCGAGUGCCGUGGCAACGCCACGGCUUUUCCGGAGUGUAAAAGCUCCGGGAAUAAGGGCUGGGCAAGGCCGGUGGCAGCCGCCGCGGUAAUACCGGCGGCCCGAGUGGUGGCCGCUAUUAUUGGGGCCUAAAGCGUCCGUAGCCGGGCCCGUAAGUCCCUGGCGAAAUCCCUCGGCUCAACCGUGGGGCUUGCUGGGGAUACUGCGGGUCUUGGGGACCGGGAGAGGCGGGGGGUACCCCCUGGGGGUAGGGGUGAAAUCCGUAUAAUCCCCAGGGGGGACCGCCAGUGGCGAAGGCGCCCCGCUGGAACGGGUCCGACGGUGAGGGACGAA